rnacentral:sRNA from 1 species
UCCACAAUAUCUAACAAUGUUAUAUGUUACAAAUACCCAGGAAAUUUAUAGAAAUACCGAUCCUCUGCAUUGGCUAUUUCCCAAAAUCCUACUUCAAGUCUGCCGCUUGCAGAGGAUCGGGGGAUAAACGACACCGACGAGAAAUGGCAUUUUUUGCACCUCAUAUCGUCGAAUCAAAUGCAAAACAUGCACAUACAGUCAUCCUCUUCUACGGGCGUGACAGCAACAGCCCGAAUUUGGAGAAGAGCUUUUCGAUACCAAAUCCUCCACCAACAAGAGCUUCGCAACACGCUCUCCUGCAUGUUGAUGGGCGUUCCACACAUCCGG